UCAUAUAUUGACGAUAGCCUACUGUAC
rnacentral:sRNA from 1 species